rnacentral:lncRNA from 1 species
GCAGCGUCCAGCACUUUGCUGUCGCCCUCACCAUCACCCACAGUGUCACUGCUGGCUCCCUAAUACAGAGAAACCCCGAAGAUGGCCUGAAACAUGGGGAGCCAAAUGCAGGAGGCGCACAGAGCAGGAGAGGCCUGACUGUAAACAACCCAGCUGAAAGCAACUCUUCCAAUAGGCUUCCCAACACUUGGAACUUGAAGCUACUGCAGAGCUGCGAGUUCCAGGCAAAGCACACCUGUCUUCUCUUCAUUGGCUGUUGAGAAGAAACCACAGCCUCGGAGGGAGAGGGAACCCUGACACCUGCCCCACCUCUCUACUCAGUGUGUGGAGCUUCUCAGUG